rnacentral:rRNA from 1 species
CCUACGGGAGGCAGCAGUGGGGAAUCUUGCGCAAUGGGCGAAAGCCUGACGCAGCCAUGCCGCGUGAAUGAUGAAGGUCUUAGGAUUGUAAAAUUCUUUCACCGGGGACGAUAAUGACGGUACCCGGAGAAGAAGCCCCGGCUAACUUCGUGCCAGCAGCCGCGGUAAUACGAAGGGGGCUAGCGUUGCUCGGAAUUACUGGGCGUAAAGGGAGCGUAGGCGGAUAGUUUAGUCAGAGGUGAAAGCCCAGGGCUCAACCUUGGAAUUGCCUUUGAUACUGGCUAUCUUGAGUACGGAAGAGGUAUGUGGAACUCCGAGUGUAGAGGUGAAAUUCGUAGAUAUUCGGAAGAACACCAGUGGCGAAGGCGACAUACUGGUCCGUUACUGACGCUGAGGCUCGAAAGCGUGGGGAGCAAACAGGAUUAGAUACCCUGGUAGUCCACGCUGUAAACGAUGAGUGCUAGUUGUCGGCAUGCAUGCAUGUCGGUGACGCGAGCUACGCAUAAGUCACUCCGCCGUCGGGGAGGUACGGUCGGCGAGAAGUUAAACGUUAACGAAAGGUUAAAGUUAGUACGGCGUUGAGACGUUGCCGACGGACGACGACGAGGGGAGGAGG